rnacentral:rRNA from 1 species
GGUCAAGUUAUUAAGGGUGCAGGGCGGAUGCCUUGGCACUAGGAGCCGAUGAAGGACGUGAUAAGCUGCGAUAAGCUUCGGGGAGUUGCACGUAAACUUUGAUCCGAAGAUUUCCGAAUGAGGAAACUCACUUAGAGUAAUGUCUAAGUAUCAUUAAGUGAAUACAUAGCUUAAUGAGGGGAACUCAGGGAACUGAAACAUCUAAGUACCUGAAGGAAGAGAAAGAAAUUCGAUUCCGUAAGUAGCGGCGAGCGAACGCGGAUUAGCCCAAACCAAUAAAGUUUUCUUUAUUGGGGUUGCGGACAUAUCAUAACGAAGAGGUAUCGUAAUUGAAGAGGUUUGGAAAGACCCACCACAGAAGGUAAUAGUCCUGUAUGUUAAACGAGAAGACUUCAGAUAUGAUCCAGAGUACCACGGGACACGUGAAACCCUGUGGGAAGCAGGAGGGACCACCCUCCAAGGCUAAAUACUACCUAGUGACCGAUAGCGUAUAGUACCGUGAGGGAAAGGUGAAAAGAACCCCGGGAGGGGAGUGAAAUAGAACCUGAAACCCUGCACUUACAAGCUGUGGAAGCACAUUUCUUGUGUGACCGCGUACUUUUUGUAGAACGGGCCAACGAGUUACGUUAAGUAGCAAGGUUAAGCACUUAAGGUGCGGAGCCGUAGCGAAAGCGAGUUUUAACUGAGCGUUCAGUUACUUGACGUAGACCCGAAACCGGGCGACCUACCCAUGAGCAGGAUGAAGCGAAAGUAAAAUUUCGUGGAGGUCCGAACCCACGAGCGUUGAAAAGCUCGGGGAUGACUUGUGGGUAGCGGUGAAAUUCCAAUCGAGCCCGGAGAUAGCUGGUUCUCCCCGAAAUAGCUUUAGGGCUAGCCUCAAGGUGAGAGAUACGGAGGUAGAGCACUGAAUGUCCUAGGGGGUAUUGCACCUACCGAAGACUAUCAAACUCCGAAUGCCGUCAUCUUAUACUUGGGAGUCAGACUGUGGGUGAUAAGAUUCAUAGUCGAAAGGGCAACAGCCCAGAUCGUCAGCUAAGGUCCCUAAAUGUAAGUUAAGUGGUAAAGGAUGUGGGAUUGCACAGACAACCAGGAUGUUGGCUUAGAAGCAGCCACUCAUUCAAAGAGUGCGUAAUAGCUCACUGGUCGAGUGAUCCUGCGCCGAAGAUUUCCGGGGCUAAAACUUACUACCGAAGCUACGGCAUCAGUAAUGAUGGGUAGGGGAGCUUCCCAUACGGGUUGAAGCAUGACCGUAAGGACAUGUGGACAGUAUGGGAGUGAGAAUGUUGGCAUGAGUAGCGAGAUGUGGGUGAGAAUCCCACAGGCCGUAAACCCAAGGUUUCCAGGGGAAGGUUCGUCCGCCCUGGGUUAGUCGGGACCUAAGCUGAGGCCGAAAGGCGUAGGUGAUGGACAACAGGUUGAUAUUCCUGUACUACCGAUAACCGUUUGAGAGAAGGGAUGACACAGUAGGAUAAGCUAAGCACACUGUUGGUUAUGUGUGCCCAAGCAUUGAGGCAGUCAAAGCAGGCAAAUCCGCUUUGAUAAUGCUGGGAUGUGAUGGGGAGCGAAAUUUAGUAGCGAAGUAGCUGAUUUCACACUGUCAAGAAAAGUCUCUAUCGAGGUUAAAGGUACCCGUACCGCAAACCGACACAGGUGGGUGAGGAGAGUAUCCUAAGGCCAGCGAGAGAACUGUUGUUAAGGAACUCGGCAAAAUGACCCCGUAACUUAGGGAUAAGGGGUGCCACCAUCCGGUGGCCGCAGAGAAUAGGCCCAAGCGACUGUUUACCAAAAACAUAGGUUUCUGCUAAGUCGCAAGACGAUGUAUAGGAGCUGACGCCUGCCCGGUGCUGGAAGGUUAAGGGGAUCUGUUAGAGCAAUCGAAGCAGUGAACUUAAGCCCCAGUAAACGGCGGCCGUAACUAUAACGGUCCUAAGGUAGCGAAAUUCCUUGUCGGGUAAGUUCCGACCCGCACGAAAGGCGUAACGAUUUGGGCACUGUCUCAACAACAGACUCGGUGAAAUUGUAAUUCCGGUGAAGAUGCCGGAUACCUGCGACAGGACGGAAAGACCCCAUGGAGCUUUACUGUAGCUUGACAUUGGGUCUUGGUACUACAUGUACAGGAUAGGUGGGAGGCUUUGAAACCAGGACGCCAGUUUUGGCGGAGCCAUCCUUGGGAUACCACCCUUGUAGUACUGGGACUCUAACCAUAGGCCAUGAAUCUGGUCUUGGGACACUGUCAGGUGGGCAGUUUGACUGGGGCGGUCGCCUCCCAAAAGGUAACGGAGGCGCUCAAAGGUUCUCUCAGUACGGUCGGAAAUCGUACGUAGAGUGUAAAGGCAAAAGAGAGCUUGAUUGCAAGACAUACAGGUCGAGCAAGGAUGAAAAUCGGACUUAGUGAUCCGGUGGUUCUGCGUGGAAGGGCCAUCGCUCAACGGAUAAAAGCUACCCUGGGGAUAACAGGCUUAUCUCCCCCAAGAGUCCACAUCGACGGGGAGGUUUGGCACCUCGAUGUCGGCUCAUCACAUCCUGGGGCUGUAGUAGGUCCCAAGGGUUGGGCUGUUCGCCCAUUAAAGUGGUACGCGAGCUGGGUUCAGAACGUCGUGAGACAGUUCGGUCCCUAUCCGUCGCAGGCGUAGGAAAUUUGAGAAGACCUGUCCUUAGUACGAGAGGACCGGGAUGGACGUACCUCUGGUGUACCAGUUGUUCUGCCAAGGGCAUGGCUGGGUAGCUAUGUACGGAAUGGAUAAGCGCUGAAAGCAUCUAAGCGCGAAGCCAACUUCAAGAUAAGAUUUCCCACCGCAAGGGUAAGACCCCAGAAAGACUAUCUGGUUGAUAGGUCGAAGGUGUAAGUGCAGCAAUGUAUUUAGCUUAUCGAUACUAAUAGGUCGAGGACUUGACCAA